GUCCACGCCCUAAACGAUGUCGACUAGCCGUUGGAGGAAUAAAAUCCUUUAGUGGCGCAGCUAACGCGAUAAGUCGACCGCCUGGGGAGUACGGCCGCAAGGUUAAAACUCAAAGGAAUUGACGGGGGCCCGCACAAGCGGUGGAGCAUGUGGUUCAAUUCGAUGCAACGCGAAGAACCUUACCUGGCCUUGACAUCCUGCGAACUUUCCAGAGAUGGAUUGGUGCCUUCGGGAGCGCAGAGACAGGUGCUGCAUGGCUGUCGU
rnacentral:rRNA from 1 species